rnacentral:rRNA from 1 species
AGAUUAAACUGAAGAGUUUGAUCAUGGCUCAGAUUGAACGCUGGCGGCAGGCUUAACACAUGCAAGUCGAGCGGAAACGAUGGGAGCUUGCUCCCAGGCGUCGAGCGGCGGACGGGUGAGUAACGCGUAGGAAUCUACCCAGUAGAGGGGGAUAGCCCGGUGAAAACCGGAUUAAUACCGCAUACGCCCCACGGGGGAAAGGCCGGGAUCUUCGGACCGGUCACUAUUGGAUGAGCCUGCGUAAGAUUAGCUAGUUGGUAGGGUAAAGGCCUACCAAGGCGACGAUUUUUAGCUGGUCUGAGAGGAUGAUCAGCCACACUGGAACUGAGACACGGUCCAGACUCCUACGGGAGGCAGCAGGGGGGAAUAUUGGACAAUGGGG